rnacentral:lncRNA from 1 species
UUGAUUUUGUAGUGUUUAAACUGCCUUUAUAUCAGUUAGUUUAAAUAUUUUUUUUAAAAAAUCCUUAUUUAGUAUUUUCUUUAUUAAGAUAUAAUUUUUUGCAAUGACAUGUACUUUUUACUAUAUAGUUUCUCUAAAUUUUGACUUAUGUAGACAGUUGAAUAAUAAUAACUGAUAUUCAUCACUAGCCAUUCCAGGUAAGUUACACGCCUCUUUAUUUUUGUAAUAUUUUUCUUUCUUUUUUUUUAUUUUAAAGAUUUAUUUAUUUAUUAUAUGUAAGUACACUGUAGCUGUCCUCAGACACACCAGACGAGGGCGUCAGAUCUCAUUUCGGGUGGUUGCUGGGAUUUGAACUCUGGACCUAUGGAAGAGCAUUUGGGUGCUCUUACCCACUGAGCCAUCUCACCAGCCCCUUGUAAUAUUUUUCUUGUGUGUGUGUGUGUGUGUGUGUGUGUGUGUGAUCCUUGAGUGUCAUCAGCAGGCUUGGAGGACAAGCACUUUACCUACUGACUUAAUCUUAUUAUCCCUAUUCCUUUAAUACUUAACAGGUCUCUUAAUCCUUAGUCCAUCUGGUGACCACUGGUCUGCUCCUAGGAUUUUCCAGAGUAACAUAAAUUGUAACAUAUAGUUUGCUUGCUUAUUUAUUUAUAUUAUUGAGGAUUAGACCAAGCAAUUUGUUGCUGAGUGAGAUUCUCAACUCUUAUUUUUACUUUCUGCUUUAUAGUAGAAAUAGGCAGGGUUUCACUAAAUUGCUCAAGGUAGCCUUGCCUCAAUCUCAAAAGUUACCGGAAUUGUAGGCUGGUACCACCAGCCCUGAAUUUUGAUUCUAGGCUUUUUUUUUUCCCCCCUUCACAUAGCACACUGUUUGAAAUUCAUCCAUGUAGUUUUGUAUAUCACUAAUUCAUUCCUGAUUUUAGUUGCUGAGUAGUGUUCCCAUGUAUGGCUACAGUAGUUAUGCAUAUGAUAGAGGGAUGUUUGUAUUUUUUUUUAAAAAGAUUUAUUUAUUUAUUUAUUUUAUAUGAGUGCUCUGUCUUCAGGCACACCAGAAGAGGGUGUCGGAUCCCUUUACAGAUGGUUGUGAGCCACCAUGUGAAUUUUGGGAAUUAAACUCAGGAUUUCUGGAAGAGCAGUCAGUGCUCUUAACCACUGAGCCAUCUCUCCAGCCUGGGAUAUUUGUAUUUUAAUAUAAAGGUUGGCAACUGAUUCAUCUGGUCUUCUAACCUUAAUACCCCAGACCCCUGUUUUCCUUGCCAAAUUUUAAUGUAAGGUUAUGAUAUCCAUAAAAUGAAUUAAGGUUGGUUUCUGAGCUCUUCUAAAGAGUUGUUUAAGAUUAGAAUCAUACCUGGAAUAUGUAGUGAACUUUGCCAGUAAAAAUGCCUGGGUUUUGGAUGGAGGGCUUUUUUUUUUCUUUUCUUUUCUGGGAUAUUGUUUUUGGUUCUUGUUGCAUUGCAGAUUGAACCCCAUGGCCUGACACAUGCUAGAAAACUUUGUAUGACUAAGCCACCCCUCCAUCUUAAUAUUUUAAUUGAUAUAAAGAUCUAUUAAGUUUUAUUGAAAAUUUGCCACUAUGAUGGUGAAUUUGCUGUUUGUAUGUUAAGAGGCAGAGUUUUAUGUUGCCCAGGCUAGCCUUGAACUCUUUGCCUCUAGUGAUCUUCCUGCUGUAACUUUCCAAGAAAGUGGUAUGCACUAGGACUCUUGAUAAGGACAGCAUUUUUGUGUGUGAUUAUGUAUCAAACCCAGUACCUACCUCAUGUAUACAAAGCUAGGUUGUACCUGCUUGGUAUUUUAAUUCCCAUUUCAACAUUAACCCAAUACAAUCUUUUCAGUCCUUACCACAGCACAGAAACUUUGCAGUGUUAAAGCUAUAUUUGGCUAGGUUCUGUACAAUCCAGUUGCUGAAUUCAGUGGUUUUUUUUUUUUUUUCCACAUUUCCUUUUAUUCACAAACUAAUUGAGUACUUUAUUCCAGGCUAUUGCAACUGUUAAUGAACAAAAUAAUUGUUUAUGCCUCCAUAGGUUUGCUUUUAUUUUGUACUUAAUGUUUUCUAGCCUUGUUUCAUUCUGCUGCCUAGGCUCAUCUCUGAUGCCUAGGCUCACGCAAUCAUCCCACUUGAGAAUCUGGGUCUAUAGAUGUGUAAUACUGCACCCUAAAGGUCACUAUGACAUCAGACACUUGCAUCUCAGAAAGAAACAUAGCACACAUGAUGAGCAAAUUAGUAUGAAAGAAGUAUUAGCAGGGUAAGUAGGAUGGGAGUAGGGUAUCGGGUUGAAUGUUAGUAGGUUGUUCAGGAUAGUGUUCAUUUGAAGGUGUAAUUUAAAGUUUUGUAGACUGUUAAGAAAGGACAGAAGAAAUUUCUGGGCAAAGCAUUAUGGAUUUUAAAGAUAGAGUAACAUUACUUGUCAGCUUGAUAGAAAUACAGAUUAGGCCUUUCCCAAGAUCUAGUGAAUUGUGAGCUCUGGAAGUAGGACUCAGUGGCCUUAAUGUAGCAGAUCCCUCUCUGUUGGUUUCUCAUAUGUCAUAAAGUGAGAAUCUAUGGGCUGGGAUAAAGACCCUACUGCAGAUGGAUUCCUGCCAUACUUGCAAAUAACAAGAAGCCAUCUUACUAAGGAAGAGUGUUGGAGAGGAGAUUAGAGAUGGUGUCUUAGGUUGUCUGUUGUAGACACCAUGGCCAAGGCAACUCUUACAAGGGACAACAUUUAAUUGGGGCUGGCUUAUAAAUUCAGAGGUUCAGUCCAUUAUCAUCAUAGCAGGAAGCAUGGCAGCAUCUAGGCAAACACAGUGCUGGAGGAAAAGCUGAGAGUUCUUGAUUUAAAGGUAACCAGGAGGGUCUCAAAGCCCAUGCCCAAAGGGACACGCUUCCUCCAUCAAGGCCACACCUCCUAAUAGUGCCACUCCUUGGACCAAGCAUAUUCAAUUCAAACCACAGAUGGUUUCUGGAGGCACAGUAUCUAGAAACAUACAACUUUGGUUUUAAGUUCUGAGUGACGUGGAGCAGGAAUUCUUUUUUUUUUUUUUUUUUUUUUUUUGGUUUUUCGAGACAGGGUUUCUCUGUAUAGCCCUGGCUGUCCUGGACCUCACUCUGUAGACCAGGCUGGCCUCGAACUCAGAAAUCCGCCUGCCUCUGCCUCCCGAGUGCUGGGAUUAAAGGCGUGCGCCACCACGCCUGGCUCUGGAGGAGGAAUUCUUAGAAGUUCUGUUCUGAGUAAAAGUCCUCCAAAACUUAUGUUUGGUUUGAGACACAAUAUCAACAAGCAGCCCUGGCUGUCUUUAGAACUCUGUAGACCAUGGUGGCCUUGAACUGCAGAGAUCUUUUUGCUUCUGCUUCCUGACUUCUGAGAUUAAAGGUAAAUACUACCACACCUGCCUCUCUUUUUUUCUUCUUCAUUUUUUUUUUUUUUUAAAGAAUACUUUUUCCAUUGGUAGUCAUGGUACAUGCCGCUGAACUCAUCCCAGCAUGCAGGAAGCAGAGGCUUGGUGGAUGGGUCUCUUGAGUUGGAGGCUAGCCUGCCCUACAGAGAGAGAACAAGCAGGGCUAUACAGAGAAACCCUGCCUUGAAAAACCAAACAAAAGAAUACUUUUUCCCAUGCAGCUUACUAAUUUUUAUGUCCGUGAUUUUUCCAUUUUCCUGGGACAUCCUUACUGUUGUUUUUACUACCAUCUUCAUGCAGAUUCCAGCUUAUAUGCAGUUCCAGGAGUAAGAUUCAACUCCUUGGAAACUAUGUAAGGCCAGUUCACAUAUUGGAGUUUCUAGAUAAACAUUGAAAUAAUAGCAGGUCUGAUAGUGCCUAUCUGUGGUUCUACUACUUGGGAGCUGGAGGCAGGGGAACAUAGUGAGACCUUUUCCCCAUCCUUCAAAAACACUGGACUAAUAUAGAGGCUAGACAUGGUAGAAUAAUAUAACUAACCACAAGGUCAAUUUAAGCAAUGACCUCCAUUUAUAAUCUACAUGUAAAGUCUUAUAUCUGAAUCUCAUGGUUUCUUGUUUUGCUAUUGUGCUCAGAAGGUCCAUUCUAAUAGGUUUUUGAUGCUGUGCUACAAAGGAGGUUCUGCCACUUUCUACAGAAGCAUGAUGUCUUAGUUCAUUCUUAGAUGCUUCAUGGCCAGAUGAAACCCAGGAUUCUCAUGUAUGUGGAAAAUAGAGCGCUUUCUAUAUAUACUAGAAGGCUGUGUCUUUUUUUGUUAGCCUGUUUAGUUUUGUCUAAUAGUUGUUACUUUGACUGUGAUUGAUUUUAUUAUACUGGUAGAUGUACAUUUUUAUCUUAUUUUAUUUUAUUUUAUUUAUUGAGACGGGGUCUCAUCAGGCCUGGGACUUGCUCUAUAGACCAGACUGGCCUUCAUCUGCCUGCUUCUGCCUCCCAAGUGCUGGGAUUAAAUAAG